AACCUUCGGGGAACGAUAACGGCGUCGAGCGGCGGAGGGUGAGUAAUGCCCAUGAAUUGCCCUGAUGUGGGGGAUAACCAUUGGAAACGAUGGCUAAUACCGCAGGAUGCCUACGGGCCAAAGAGGGGGACCUUCGGGCCUCUCGCGAAAAGAAAAACCCAGGGGGGAUUAACUGUGUUGGGGAGGUAAGGGCUCACCAAGGCGACUAUCCCUAGCUGGUCUGAGAGGAUGAUCAGCCACACGGGAACUGAGACACGGUCCAGACUCCUACGGGAGGCAACAGGGGGGGAAUAUUGCCACAAGGGGCCCAAGCCUGAUGCACCCCUUCCCGCGUGUGUGAAAGAAUGCCUUCGGGGUUGUAAAGCCACUUUCAGUUCGUGAGGAAAGUAGUGUAUUGUUUAAUAGCCGCAUUCAUUUGGACGUUAACGACAGAAGAAGCACCGGCCAAAUUCCGUGCCAGCAGCCGCGGUAAUACAGAGGGUGCGAGCGUUAAUCGGAAUUACUGGGCGUAAAGCGCAUGCAGGUGGUUUGUUAAGUCACAUGUGAAAGCCCGGGGCUCAACCUCGGAAUAGCAUUUGAAACUGGCAGACUAGAGUACUGUAGAGGGGGGUAGAAUUUCAGGUGUAGCGGUGAAAUGCGUAGAGAUCUGAAGGAAUACCGGUGGCGAAGGCGGCCCCCCUGGACAGAUACUGACACUCACAUGCGAAAGCGUGGGGAGCAAACAGGAUUAGAUACCCUGGUAGUCCACGCCGUAAACGAGGUCUACUUGGAGGUUGUGGCUCUUGAGCCGUGGCUUUCGGAGCUAACGCCUUAAGUAGACCGCCUGGCGAGUACGGUCGCAAGAUUAAAACUCAAAUGAAUUGACGGGCGCCCGCACAAGCGGUGGAGCAUGUGGUUUAAUUCGAAGCAACGCGAAGAACUCUUACCUACUCUUGACAUCCAGAGAACUUUCCAAAGAUGCAUUGAUGCCUUUCAGAACUCUGAAAACGGUGCUGCACGGCCGUCGUCAGCUCGUGGUGGUGAAAUGUUGGGUUAAGUCCCCCAACGAGCGCAAUCCCUUAUCCUUGUUUGCCAGCGAGUAAUGUCGGGAACUCCAGGGAGACCGCCGGUGAUAAACCGAAGGAAGAGUGGGGACGACGUCAAGUCAUCAUGGCCCUUACGAGUAGGGCUACACACGUGCUACAAUGGCGCAUACAGAGGGCGGCCAACUUGCGAAAGUGAGAUCGAAUCCCAAAAAGUGCGUCGUAGUCCGGAUUGGAGUCUGCAACUCGACUCCAUGAAGUCGG
rnacentral:rRNA from 1 species